rnacentral:tRNA from 1 species
AGUGAUUUAGGAUAAUUAAGACCAUGAGCCUUCAAAGCUCACAGUGGGAGUGAAAAUCUCUCAAUUACUG